UAACCUGCCACGCAUAUCAUUCUUAUCCUAUUGUUACCAUUUUUUAAACUUCAAGUUCUUGUCAGAAUGUAUAACAUACGUUCUCAUACACUCUUGAAAGUCUUGUUUUGUAGCAAAAUAUGUCCCUAUCCACUUAUAAUUCUCCCAUAUUUCUGGAAGCUUAAAGGUUUGAAAAGUAGUCUUUGAACCAUCUUCAUUUUCAGUGUCAUACUCACUAGGUAACUCAUCAUUGUUGUGUUAUGC
rnacentral:lncRNA from 1 species